ensembl:snRNA U1 U1 spliceosomal RNA
AUACUUACCUGGCAGGGGAGAUACCAUGAUCACGAAGGUGGUUUUCCUAGGGCGAGGCUUCUCCAUUGCACUUAGGAUGUGCUGAUCCCAGCGAUUUCCCCAAAUGCGGGAAACUCACUACGGAAUUCGUGGUAAUGGGGGAUUGCGCUUUCCCCUG